UACAGAGGUCCCGAGCGUUGUUCGGAUUCAUUGGGCGUAAAGGGUGCGUAGGCGGUCUGCUAAGUUUGAUGUGAAAUCCCGGGGCUCAACCCUGGAAUGGCCUUCGAGACUGCCGGUCUUGAGUUCGAGAGAGGUGGGUGGAAUUCCGAGUGUAGAGGUGAAAUUCGUAGAUAUUCGGAGGAACACCAGUGGCGAAGGCGGCCCACUGGCUCGACACUGACGCUGAGGUGCGAAAGCGUGGGGAGCAAACAGGG
rnacentral:rRNA from 1 species